GCGCCCAUAGUUCAAUGGAUAGAGCACAAGCCUCCGAAGCUUGAAAUUGAGGUUCGACUCCUCAUGGGCGCA
rnacentral:tRNA from 1 species